rnacentral:rRNA from 2 species
UUGACCUCGGAUCAGGUAGGGAUACCCGCUGAACUUAAGCAUAUCAAUAAGCGGAGGAAAAGAAACCAACAGGGAUUGCCCCAGUAACGGCGAGUGAAGCGGCAAGAGCUCAAAUUUGAAAUCUGGCCCCUCCGGGGUCCGAGUUGUAAUUUGCAGAGGAUGCUUCGGGCGCGGUCCCCGUCUAAGUACCCUGGAACGGGUCGUCAUAGAGGGUGAGAAUCCCGUCUGGGACGGGUGGCCGUGUCCGUGUGAAGCUCCUUCGACGAGUCGAGUUGUUUGGGAAUGCAGCUCUAAAUGGGUGGUAAAUUUCAUCUAAAGCUAAAUAUUGGCCGGAGACCGAUAGCGCACAAGUAGAGUGAUCGAAAGAUGAAAAGCACUUUGAAAAGAGAGUUAAACAGCACGUGAAAUUGUUGAAAGGGAAGCGCUUGCGACCAGACUCGCCCGCGGGGGUUCAGCCGGUACUCGUACCGGUGUACUCCCCCGGGGGCGGGCCAGCGUCGGUUUGGGCGGUCGGUCAAAGGCCUCCGGAAUGUGUCGCCCCCCGGGGCGUCUUAUAGCCGGAGGUGCAAUGCGGCCAGCCUGGACCGAGGAACGCGCUUCGGCUCGGACGCUGGCGUAAUGGUCGUAAGCGGCC